rnacentral:rRNA from 1 species
GUGCAGCAGGCGAGAAUCCUCCGCAAUGCGGGAAACCGUGACGGGGUCACCCCGAGUGCCACCCGAUGAGGGUGGCUUUUCCCCGGUCUAAAAGGCCGGGGGCAAUAAGCGGGGGGCAAGUCUGGUGUCAGCCGCCGCGGUAAUACCAGCCCCGCGAGUGGUCGGGACGUUUAUUGGGCCUAAAGCGUCCGUAGCCGGCUCGGUAAGUCCCUCCUUAAAUCCACGGGCUCAACCCGUGGGCUGGGAGGGAUACUGCCGGGCUAGGGGGCGGGAGAGGCCGAGGGUACUCCCGGGGUAGGGGCGAAAUCCGUUAAUCCCGGGAGGACCACCAGUGGCGAAGGCGCUCGGCUGGAACGCGCCCGACGGUGAGGGACGAAAGCUGGGGGAGCGAAAGGGGAUUA